UACGUAGGGGGCAAGCGUUGUCCGGAUUUACUGGGCGUAAAGCGCGCGUAGGCGGAUGCCUAAGUGUAGCCUGAAAGCCCCCGGCUCAACCGGGGAUCCGGGUUGCAAACUGGGCGUCUUGAGGGCGAUAGGGGAGUGCGGAAUUCUCGGUGUAGCGGUGAAAUGCGUAGAGAUCGGGAGGAACGCCCAAGGCGAAGGCAGCACUCUGGGUCGACCCUGACGCUGAGGCGCGAAAGCGUGGGGAGCGAACGGGAUUAGAUACCCCGGUAGUCCACGCCGUAAACGAUGGUCACUAGGUGUGUGCGGUAUCGACCCCGCACGUGCCGCAGCUAACGCAAUAAGUGACCCGCCUGGGGAGUACGGCCGCAAGGUUG
rnacentral:rRNA from 1 species